UAUGAAGGGGGCUAGCGUUGCUCGGAAUCACUGGGCGUAAAGCGCACGUAGGCGGCUUUCUAAGUCAGGGGUGAAAUCCUGGAGCUCAACUCCAGAACUGCCUUUGAUACUGGAGAGCUUGAGUCCGGAAGAGGUGAGUGGAACUCCGAGUGUAGAGGUGAAAUUCGUAGAUAUUCGGAAGAACACCAGUGGCGAAGGCGGCUCACUGGUCCGGUACUGACGCUGAUGUGCGAAAGCGUGGGGAGCAAACAGG
rnacentral:rRNA from 1 species